UACGUAGGGGGCAAGCGUUGUCCGGAAUUAUUGGGCGUAAAGAGCGUGUAGGCGGCCAGAUAAGUCCGCUGUGAAAACUCGGAGGCUCAACCUCGAGACGCCGGUGGAAACCGUAAAGCUAGAGUCCGGAAGAGGAGAGUGGAAUUCCUGGUGUAGCGGUGAAAUGCGCAGAUAUCAGGAAGAACACCCGUGGCGAAGGCGGCUCUCUGGGACGGUACUGACGCUCAUGCACGAAAGCGUGGGGAGCAAACAGG
rnacentral:rRNA from 1 species